AUUUUAUUUAUUAAAAUAUAAUAUAAUAACAGCAUGCUAGCCAUAAUAAGUUAUAUUUAAGGUGAUGCUUGAAUCAAUAAAUACAAAAAAAAACUUAUCUGAAAAUCAGUCUCUGGAAACUAUUUCUGCAUAACCCCAGACAUCAGGACAUUUUUUUAAAUUGUGUUUGACUCUUUGUGACACUUUUGAGGAUUUUAUUGGCAAAGAUAUUGGAGUUAUUUGUCGUUUCUUUCUCUAACUUAUUUUACAGAUGAGGAAACUGACACAAACAGGGUUAAGUGACUUGCCCAGGGUCACACAGCUAAUAAAUGCCUGAGAACAGAUUUCAACUCAGGAAAAUGAGUGUUCCUGACUCCAGACUCAGAAUUCUAACCACUUUGCCAUCCAGCUGCUUCUAACCUUCAAAUAUCUCCAAAAAUAACUAAUAUUUACACACAUUAUCUCAUUUUAUCCAUAGAACUUUGUGAAGUUGAUAUUUUUAUUGACCCAUUUCACAGAUAAAGAAACUAAGGCUGUGACAUUCCUAAGAAAUUGACCUUGUUAGUUCAGAGGUAGACAGAGAACUCCUCUUGACUCCAGGAUACUCUUCCACAUCCCCUCAGAUCUGAUACUGCUCUACAACUAUGAGUGAGUCACGUAACCUCCAUCGGCCUCAGUUUCUUCAGUUUAAGGCAAGAGAAAUGCCACCUCUAGUACUAACUGCCCAAAGCUGUUGUGAGGCUCAGUGGAAUUAAGUGCAAGUAAAUGCCCAGCACUGUUGUGCACAUGUGGGUGCAGAAGGAGUUGGACAAUUAAAUCACGUACGGGUCCUUCUGUUUUGGUGAAGGUGAAUCCUCCAAAGAGAUGAAGGCAGCGUCUGUUUUCGCCCAUCAAGGUUGCCCUGGCACAUGUGGUGGUCAAAGGGACUCAGCUGGCAAGGGCAAUGCUGCAUUUGUCAAUCACAUUCAGUCGUGCAUGGUUUCCUGAAAUAAUUAUCAGGUGAGUGGCAUCUCGGUGCCUGGAGAGCCGGCUUCGGAGCUGCAGGCCCCAGAGUAUUAAUUACUGCGCGCAAAAAUUUGCAGAGAAGCAAGUCUUUUAAUGGUAGAACUGACGUAACAUGAUUGUUUUGAUUUUUUUUACUAACAUGACAAUCAUCGGCGGCCCCCUGGUCAUCACCAUAGAUCAGUUCGAAUUACCUGGGGAGGCCAUUACCGAGCUG
rnacentral:lncRNA from 1 species